rnacentral:rRNA from 1 species
GACGAACGCUGGCGGCGUGCUUAACACAUGCAAGUCGAACGGAAAGGCCCUGCUUUUGUGGGGUGCUCGAGUGGCGAACGGGUGAGUAACACGUGAGUAACCUGCCCUUGACUUUGGGAUAACUUCAGGAAACUGGGGCUAAUACCGGAUAGGAGCUCCUGCUGCAUGGUGGUGGUUGGAAAGUUUCGGCGGUUGGGGAUGGACUCGCGGCUUAUCAGCUUGUUGGUGGGGUAGUGGCUUACCAAGGCGUUGAAGGGUAGCCGGCCUGAGAGGGUGACCGGCCACAUUGGGACUGAGAUACGGCCCAGACUCCUACGGGAGGCAGCAGUGGGGAAUAUUGCACAAUGGGCGGAAGCCUGAUGAAGCACGGCCGCGUGCGGGAUGACGGCCUUCGGGUUGUAAACCGCUUUCGCCUGUGACGAAGCGUGAGUGACGGUAAUGGGUAAAGAAGCACCGGCUAACUACGUG